GUUCCUAGGGCCUGGUUUACACGUAAAAGUUUCCAACUUUACGUGUAGAUAAUCACCAAUGAAGGUUUUAGGGCUCAAAGUGCACCAAAAGGGGUAGAUCUAGGACUUUCAUGCAAUAAGACUCCAUAAAGGCAGUAGAUCCAAGCUUCAGGGACUAAAUCAUGCCUAGAUCUAAAAGGCUGACAACCUAUUACAACCCACCAAGCACAUACAAGCUUGAAGAAUGGCUCAAAAAGGGCUUUCAUGAAGCUAUUAGGGACUACAGGCUUGAAAACAGAGGGGAAACGAACUAUACCUCAAGGAAAACGUUGAGAUGUCACAAAAAUGCUUGGCCUCCUUCUCCUCUUCUUGAUCUACUCUUCUUUCUCCUCAAAAACUUCAAGAACACACAAAAAACACUUUAAUCUCAUAAGGGAUGAGAGAAAAACGAUGAUGGGAGCUCUGAGAGUGAAUGGGGGCGAGCUUGGGGCGGAAAUGAGGGUUUAAAUAGGGUGCAAACCCUUGAAAUUUAGGGUUUCAACAGACAGCGGUGACUCGCCGAGUCCANAAGAACACAUAAAAAAACACUUUAAUCUCACAAGGGAUGAGGGAAAAACGAUGAUGGGAGCUCUGAGAGUGAAUGGGGGCG
rnacentral:lncRNA from 1 species